UCUCGGGGCCUGAGCGGGAUGUGCAGGGAGCAGAGACGCAGGGAGGAGGAGACGCUGGCUGGAGCCAGAGCUGGGAGCACCUGCCAGAGCCCAUCCAGUCCCCGGCCCUGCUGGCCAGUGCUCCUGCCUAUCCCAGCUCUGGCAGGUUGGGUGUGAAGGCCUGAGCAGGCUCCUGCUCCAUAACCUUUCAUGGUUCCUCCCACUGUCUGGCCUCACUGUGAGCCCUCGAGGAUACCUUCCAACAACACUGUGCUCCACUUCCCGCCGCCUCCCUGUUGACCCCUGGACCCCACAAUUUAUAAGGGAGAAGGGCCCCUUUGUCCUCCUCAUCUCCCAGACAGGGUGGGAUUUGGCAAAGCAGAGAAGGGAGCCCGGGACCUGCCUGGUGGUGCUGAUUCCUGGCUCGUGUCCCUUCUCUGCACACAUCAUGGAGGAGCCCCUGCGGUAUUGGGGCCUGGCAGUCUCUGCACAUCUCCACUGUGUGACCCAGGGAGCCUCCCCCAGGACACUUAGCCUGCUCCGUGAACGCCCUCCUCCCAGGACCACUCUGGGGCCUCCAGAUCUCGUGGGAGGCCGCACAUGGUGCCCCUGGCUGCCCCUUGGGGACCUCUACUACUGGCAAGAAAAGAGAAACUGGUAAUCGGUGCUCCCAAUGUGCAUGGCAAUGCCACUGGCUGGCCAGGACCUGCUCCCGGCGUUUGAAAGGUCCCCUGAGCUCAUCUGCUUGUUCAUUUGCACUGUCUAUGGAGAAAGCAAAUGUCAACUUGUGCUGCCCAGACCGCUGCUUGCACUCCCCUCAUUAGUGGUGUCUGAAAUCAUAGAGUUUCUCUGUGUUCUCGUUAUGUGCAAAUGACCUCCCAAAAGCACUUCCGAGGGGCAUGUAGACCCAAGACGGCCCCUUCUAGAGGGGCUUUGGUUCUUGGGACGAGGGUGCCUCUGCCUUGGGGAGGGACUUCCAAUGGAUCGAAACUGGAGGGAGGGACCCAGCGGGGGGUGCCUAGGAUCCCGAGUUUGGGAGACCCUUGUGGGCACACCUGCCUUGAAGGGCCGGGACCUAGGGGUUCCCACGCAGCUGUGAGGGGAGACAGAGGUGGCAGGUGCAGGCUGAUUCCCACCCCGGGGAAGCUCAUUGUGGAGGCACACGUAGCUCACCGUAGCCCCUGCUGCUCAGCUACGCUGGAUAUGCCCAGUCUGCGCAGGGCACUUCUCGCUCUCCACUUAAAAGGAUGCGUUUGGCAAACCUCAGGAUGUCGUUAAAAUUUCAUGGGCUCCCCCUAAGCGGAGGACCAUCGGCCGUAACCUCGAUCGAGUCAGAUCUGUGCCUGGUCCAGGUGUGUCUCCUGUUGGCGAGCACAUCUCUCCUCGAUGUCACAGAAAUGAGACACCAUCCCGGAGCUGGCAGGACAGGUUGGC